GAUGAACGCUAGCGAUAGGCUUAACACAUGCAAGUCGAGGGGCGGCACAAGGUAGCUUGCUAUCUGGGUGGCGACCGGCGCACGGGUGCGUAACGCGUAUGCAACUUGCCCUAUACAGGAGGAUAACCCGUCGAAAGACGGACUAAUACUGCGUAUGCUCACAACUUGGCAUCAAGUGGUGAGGAAAGAAAUUCGGUAUAGGAUAGGCAUGCGUCCCAUUAGCUUGUUGGUGAGGUAACGGCUCACCAAGGCAACGAUGGGUAGGGGAACUGAGAGGUUUAUCCCCCACACUGGUACUGAGACACGGACCAGACUCCUACGGGAGGCAGCAGUGAGGAAUAUUGGUCAAUGGGCGCGAGCCUGAACCAGCCAAGUCGCGUGAAGGAGGACUGUCUUAUGGAUUGUAAACUUCUUUUAGACGGGAAUAACAAGAGUCACGUGUGACUCCCUGCAUGUACCGUAUGAAUAAGCAUCGGCUAACUCCGUG
rnacentral:rRNA from 1 species